CAAAGCCACAGGGGAACGUGAUUCUAAUACAGGGGAAGAGGAAAUGAAGGAGGAGGAAGAGGAAGAGAAGACAAAGAAGAAAGGAAGGAGAAAACGAAGGAAGGAAAAGGAAAAAGAAAGGAAAGGAGAGAAAGGAAGAGGAAGGUAGAGGAGACGAAAGGAAGGUAGAGAUGAAAGAAAAAUAUACUGAAGAAGGAAACGAAGAAGAGGGAAGGAGGAGAAGAAAAAAGAAAUGAAUGAAGGAAGGAAAAAAGCGAAAGACAAAAUAUACGAAAGGAACAAGGAAGAAAAUACAAAACGAUGACAGAGAGGACAAGAGGGAAGAAAAAAGGGAGAAGGGAAAAAUGAGAAAGAGGAAGAGGAAGAAGAAGAGGAGGAGGGUGAGAACAGUGGCAAUAAUGACAGGUUUGAUAACAAGGAAAAGAAAAAAUGUGAAUAAAAAUAGAGAGGAAAUAGGGAAACACGAAAUAGGAACUCAGAACGCAAAUACAUGGUUACAGAAGGUCACAGAUAUGAAAAUUGGCAGAAUGGAAAUAGGGAAACACGAAACAAGGACUCAGAAGGCAAAUAGAUAGUUACAGAAGGUCACAGAUACGAAAAUUGGCAGAAUGGAAAUAGGGAAACACGAAAUAGGAACUCAGAACGCAAAUACAUGGUUACAGAAGGUCACAGAUACGAAAAUUGGCAGAAUGGAAAUAGGGAAACACGAAACAAGGACUCAGAAGGCAAAUAGAUAGUUACAGAAGGUCAAAGAUACGAAAAUAGGCAGAAAAAGGGGUGUCACUGUACCUGGGAAGUGAUAUAUAUGAAAAUGGAAUAAAAAAUGUACCUGGAGUGAAGUAUAUUAGUGUUUUGUUUGUCCAUUUGAGUUGUUAGUGAUUCUACAACUUCCUCCUUUUAUUCUUUUUCUUCUUUGUUUUGUUCUUCGUUUUCUUCUUUAAUUUGUGUUUCUUUGUUUUCCUUCUUCUCCUCGUUAAUUAAGUUCCCCAUCAUUUCUCUUACACAUGAUUACCCUUCUUCUUCUUCUUGUGUUUCUUUCCUUCUUUCUCCUCCUCCUUCUCUUUUCUUUAGUUUCCCAUCAUUUCUCUUACAUAUGACUACCCUUCUUCUUCUUCUUCUUGUGUUUCUUUCCUUCUUUCUCCUCCUCCUUCUCUUUUCUUUAGUUUCCCAUCAUUUCUCUUACAUAUGACUACCCUUCUUCUUCUUCUUCUUCUUCUUCUUCUUCUUCUUCUUCUUCUUCUCCUCCUCCUUGCUCACCUUACCCACCUAACCUGUCCAAGCCUCCACCAGUUUACCUGUUCCACUCCCUUCCUCGGGCUGCCACCCACCUGUUCACUCCACCACCUCCACCACCACCACUACCUCCUCCACUUCACUUCCACAUGUUCACUCUUUUUCCAUCUAUCAUCAACUCUUCCAUCUUCCACUUCCUCCUUGACUGCUUCCUCCAUUCCCUCCACCAAUAGCAACCCUUUUCCUCCACUUCCUCCUCCGCCUGUUCCCUCCUUUUCCCCCUCCACUGUUCUCUGCAAACUCGACAUGACUUAUCCUCCUCCUCCUCCACUCCCUCUUCCACUUGUUCAUUCCACUCCCCCUCUUCGCUAUCUACUCCCUCUUUUGUUUGGUAUUCCACUCCCUCCCUCCGCCCUCUAUUCCUACCACUAUCAUCACCAUCAUCACCACCACCACCAACCACUAUCACCACCACCACCAACCACUAUCACCACUAUCACCACCACACCAACCACUAUCACAACCAUCACCACCACCAACCACUAUCACCACCAUCAUCACCACCAACAACAACAACUAUCAUCUCUCAUCACCACCACAACCAACCACUAUCACCAUCACCACCACAAGCACUAUCACCUCCAUCAUCACCACCAGCCACAAUCACAAUCAUCAC